AGUGAACGCUGGCGGCGUGCCUAACACAUGCAAGUCGAACGAUGAUUGGAGAGCUUGCUCUUCAUGAUUAGUGGCGCACGGGUGAGUAACGCAUAGGUAAUAUGCCCCUUAGUCAGGGAUAGCCACUGGAAACGGUGAUUAAUACUAGAUACUCCUUCUUGUCUCAAGGCAAGUCGGGAAAGUUUUUCGCUAAGGGAUCAGCCUAUGUCCUGUCAGUUUGUUGGUGAGGUAACGGCUCACCAAGGCUAUGACGGGUAUCUGGAUUGAGAGGAUGAUCAGACACACUGGAACUGAGACACGGUCCAGAAUCCUACGGGAGGCAGCAGUGAGGAAUAUUGCACAAUGGAGGAAACUCUGAUGCAGCAACGCCGCGUGGAGGAUGACUCAUUUCGGUGUGUAAACUCCUUUUAUUAGGGAAGAUUAUGACGGUACCUAAUGAAUAAGCACCGGCUAACUCCGUGCCAGCAGCCGCCGUAA
rnacentral:rRNA from 1 species